CAUUCCACAGGAGCUGCCGGACAAGGGAGGUCCAACCUAUACAGUGAUUUGUUUUGUUACAUCACUGGGUUUCAUCAUAUCUCCAGCAUCCAAGCAUUUCCUGGGGCAAGCCCUUUAUUUACAUCCUCUCUUAUAGGAAAUAAAAAGGGCUCGUCCCAAGCUAGCUCAGCUUCGUGGUUUCAGGAGUGAUCCAUCUUCUUUUGCAGAAUUACCUUUAAUUUGCUGGGAGGGAAAGAAGGAAGGAAGGGUGAAGGCAGAGGAAGUUGUUCAUAGAUGUCAUUCCACAACAUCACUGGGAGGAGAAGGCAGUGAUGAUUGUGCAAUGGGGUGCAAGAUCAAAUGGAUGCAGCUAGACCGGGCAGCAUGUUACCAGGGCUGCCCUUGAUUUGCAGCACAGAAAUUAACUUUGUGCCGUCAGAGUUGACCUUGUUUCCCAGAGAAGCUGUUUUUUUCUGGAUUGUUUCUUCCAGAGGAAACUGGAUGAAUCUGCUCUAUAGUUGGCUUUACAAAGAAUUAUCUUACUGACAAAAGAACUCUGUGUGGGGAAGUAUUCAUAUAUAUUAGCAUAGGCUGAGAAAAUAGAUCAUUGUUUAAUGCUUAGUAUAUAAGGAUACAGACAUCCAGUAGCAGCAAAUAGACAUGAAUGACCUGUAUUUGGUGUGGAGGGCUCUCACUGAUCUAAAUAUGAGUACUGCAGUGCUUUUUAAAUAGACAAAAGUAUUGUCAGCUUGGGAAGAUGAUGAGGGAGGGUGUUAUCUAGUUAGUAUUGAGAGCUAAGAGUGCUCCUGCCUCUGUUCCCAGUUUUGUCACUGAUUCUUAAUCAUGUUGGGCAUGUCACAAUCUCUCUCUGCCUCUGCUUACCCAUGUUUAGAGUGGCUCUGAUGGAUGUUGUGAGGCAUGUCUGCAAUGCUCUGAGAGGUUUUUGGAGGGAAGUGACUACAUCAGUGUAAGGACCAGAUUCACUGAAAAAACCCCAAUGAAUUGGAUCUGUCACCAUAUUAGUCUCUCUAGCUGAGAUACAAAAUAAAGGACCUCAAAUGAACUACAGGCAACAUUAGCUGAGUCACUUCAUCUGCCAGAAUCCAACAAUAAGCUGUCCCAUUAUCUUGAAAUCAAAUGUUUUAAAAAACCUAAAAAUAUUUUUCCUC